GGCGACACCGCGCGGAACCGAAGCCGUUCUCAGUUCGGAUCGGAGUCUGCAACCCGACUCCGUGAAGCUGGAUUCGCUAGUAAUCGCGCAUCAGCCAUGGCGCGGUGAAUACGUUCCCGGGCCUUGUACACACCGCCCGUCAAGCCAUGGGAGCCGGGGGUGCUUGAAGUGCGUCGCCGCAAGGCGCGCCCUAGAGCAAAACCGGUGACUGGGGCUAAGUCGUAACAAGGUAUC
rnacentral:rRNA from 1 species